rnacentral:rRNA from 1 species
UCGAUCUAUGAUUUCACAUUCAUGGACGUUGAUAAGAUCCUUCCGUUUAGUAGCACCUUAGGAUGGCAUAGCCUUAACGUUAAUGGCGAGGUUCAAAAGAGGAAAGGCUUGUGGUGGAUACCUAGGCACCCAGAGACGAGGAAGGGCGUAGCAAGCGACAAAAUGCUUCGGGGAGUUGAAAAUAGGCAUAUAUCCGGAGAUUUCCAAAUAGGCCAACCUUUUAAACUGCCUGCUGAAUCCAUGAGCAGGCAAGAGAUAACCUGGCAAACUGAAACAUCUUAG